UCCGACUAGUUCCGGGUUCGAGUCCCGGG
rnacentral:tRNA from 3 species